rnacentral:snRNA from 1 species
GUACUCACUUUGGCAGCAUGUAAACUAAAAUUGGAAUGAUGCAGAGAAGAUCAGUAUGGCCCCUGUGCAAGGUGAUACACAAAUUUGUGGAGUAUUCCAUAUUUUG